UACGAAGGGGGCUAGCGUUGUUCGGAAUUACUGGGCGUAAAGCGCACGUAGGCGGUUAUUUAAGUCAGGGGUGAAAUCCCGGGGCUCAACCCCGGAACUGCCUUUGAUACUGGGUAUCUCGAGUCCGAGAGAGGUGAGUGGAAUUCCGAGUGUAGAGGUGAAAUUCGUAGAUAUUCGGAGGAACACCAGUGGCGAAGGCGGCUCACUGGCUCGGUACUGACGCUGAGGUGCGAAAGCGUGGGGAGCGAACAGG
rnacentral:rRNA from 1 species